AGUGAACGCUGGCGGUAGGCCUAACACAUGCAAGUCGAACGGCAGCACAGUAAGAGCUUGCUCUUACGGGUGGCGAGUGGCGGACGGGUGAGGAAUACAUCAGAAUCUACUUUUUCGUGGGGGAUAACGUAGGGAAACUUACGCUAAUACCGCAUACGACCUACGGGUGAAAGCAGGGGAUCUUCGGACCUUGCGCGAUUGAAUGAGCCGAUGUCGGAUUAGCUAGUUGGCGGGGUAAAGGCCCACCAAGGCGACGAUCCGUAGCUGGUCUGAGAGGGUGAUCAGCCACACUGGAACUGAGACACGGUCCAGACUCCUACGGGAGGCAGCAGUGGGGAAUAUUGGACAAAGGGCGCAAGCCUGAUCCAGCCAUACCGCGUGGGUGAAGAAGGCCUUCGGGUUGUAAAGCCCUUUUGUUGGGAAAGAAAAGCAGCAGGUUAAUACCCCGCUGUUCUGACGGUACCCAAAGAAUAAGCACCGGCUAACUUCGUG
rnacentral:rRNA from 1 species